rnacentral:rRNA from 1 species
CCUACGGGUGGCAGCAGUGGGGAAUAUUGCGCAAUGGGCGAAAGCCUGACGCAGCGACGCCGCGUGAGGGAUGAAGGUCUUCGGAUCGUAAACCUCUGUCAGCAGGGAAGAACGGUCACUGUGCUAAUCAGCAGUGACUUUACGGUACCUGCACAGGAACCACCGGCUAACUCCGUGCCAGCAGCCGCGGUAAUACGGAGGGUGCGAGCGUUAAUCGGAAUUACUGGGCGUAAAGCUCUCGUAGGCGGUAUGUCAAGUCAAGGGUGAAAUCCCCGCGCUCAACGUGGGAACUGCCGUUGAAACUGGCAAACUGGAGUGUGUGGGAGGAUAGUGGAAUGCCAGGUGUAGGAGUGAAAUCCGUAGAUAUCUGGAGGAACAUCAGUGGCGAAGGCGACUAUCUGGCACAUAACUGACGCUGAGGAGCGAAAGCGUGGGUAGCAAACAGGAUUAGAUACCCUAGUAGUC